UGUUUAGUCCCCAGCUGGGCCAUUCACUUAAGGGUUGGAUUUGAUAAUCCUUGUGGGUCCCUUCCAACUCAGAAAAUUCUGUGAUUCUAGAAAU